CAACAGAAAUAGAAAAAGAAGAAAAUUUAUAUAAGCAAAUCUUACUUUACCAUAGUAAUGAGUCAAUGUAUAGCGGAAUAAACGAAACUUACAAUACACUUAAGGUCAAAAUAUACUGUCCCAAAUUCAAAGAUCACAUACAGUUAAUAAUAAAUAACUGUGAAAAGUGCCAAAGAACAUUUUUCAUUUCAAAAAGCAGUCUUUUGUCACAGUUAUUGACAAACGAACAAAAUUCACGGCAGGAUACAGCAUAACUGAUAGAAAUUAGAGGGCAAAGAAGGCUAUUAUAAUUGAACAUAUCGCGCAAUUUGGAAAACCAAAACAAAUCAUAACGGAUAAUGAAUUCAGGGCCGAACAAUUGAUACAGUUCUUAAAUGCAGAAGGAGUAGAGGUACACCUAACAAACCCAAAUUCUCAUACAGGCAAUGCAGACAUUGAGAGGCUGCACUCAACCCUGGUAGAAGAACUAACAGGAAUUAAAGAUCUAAGCCUCUCAACAGAAAUGAAGAUACUGAGCGUUAUAGACCAUGUGGAUAAUAAUAGCGUUUCUGAUGAAAUUGGUGAUAGCGUUUCUACAAGCAGCACCGAUAAUUGAAGUUGCGGGAUACACCAUGAUUCAACUCAACGAAGUAGAAAUCGUCAAUGAAGUAAAUACAAUACAUUAUACACCCUAAAAAUCCCAAGAAACUUUUUUUAAAGAAAAUGUAAAAUUAAUUACACCAUUACCAAAGGAACAAACUUGCAGAUAAAUCAAAAAGAUGAAUUAAUUGUAAUAAUAAAUAAAGAACACUAUGUGUAAAGGAAAAAUUCUGUAUUUAAAAAAUUAAAACUGGACAAGAAUUGUAUCUUUUCUGAUGAUUGUGAAAUUAUGUACAGUAUAAUAAUAGAACACUAAUUCAAGAAAUAAGUGAUGAUACCUUAACAAUAAACAAUGCACGUAAUGAAAGUCUCAUUCAGACUAGUGAUUAAAGCAACUUCAUAUCAAAAAAUUUUCGAAAACCGGCUACAACUUUUC